rnacentral:ncRNA from 1 species
GUGAAAAUGAAGAGACGAAUUAGUAAUGACAAGUUGAUUUCAGAAACCGGAUGGUUGUUGAGAAUUCGGAUUAAUUUGUGACGAACUCAUCGUCGAAUGCUUGAUUGAAUUCAGUAAGUCAGGUCGGUUAAUCGCCGUUAUCGAUCAUUAAGUGCUUAAUGUCCGUAGUCGACGUUAAGAAUAUAGGUGGUACCGCGAUUAAUCGUCCUAUAG